ensembl:lncRNA
ACAGUGAAGUUCCCAAGGAACAAACCAUAGCAGCUACAUCAAAGAAAGGUGCAAAUUAUUCUUUGUGUACCACAGAUCUAGAUCGGUACACAGAUCUAGUUUAUUAAAUCAUUUUUCUCUGAUUUAGAUGCUGAAGCAAAAGAAAAGGCCAAAUUAGCUCCAGAAAAGAAAGGUAUGAAAUUAUUUUUGAAUUGUUAAUUUUCCGCUUAUUCAAAUAAUAGGUAGGCAGCCUAUGUGUCCAUUUUAUGCUAUUUAUAAAACAUUCAAAAAGUUAUUAUUGUAAGGACUGUUGUACGUGAACUUAGAAGCUGAAGUUUCCAAAGAAAAAGCCAAAGUAACUCCUUCAAAUGAAGGUAACAGAAUGUAUUGAUUUUUAACACAACCAAUAUAAUAUUACAGACAGUACAUAAUCUCAGAGAAAAAAAAAUAUCCUGCUAUAUUCAUAGAGAAACACAAUUAUGUUGCUUUUGAUUCAGAUGCUGCAGUUAUUAAAGAAAAGAUCAAAUCAGCCCCUGCAAAGAAAGAUGCUGCAGUUAUUAAAGAAAAGGUGAAAUCAGCCCCUGUAAAGAAAGGUAAAAAUGUUUUCAAAUCUGUGGUUAAUAUGUAAUUUGAUAGUGCUUGAUAGAGGCUGAAAGUCACUAUUUUACUGAGAAGCUGAAUUUAGCAGUGAGAAGACCAAACCAGCUCUUGCAAAAAAAUAAUGAAAUGGCCCAAUUCUUUAGAUUCAUUUUGUGUCUUCUCCAAUGAUUGUUUUAGAAGCUGAAAUUCACAAAGAAAACGCCAAAGCAGCUUCAUCAAAGAAAGAGUCCAAGGAAACUAAGGAACAAGCCAAACCAGAGCCUUCAAAAGAAGGUACAGAUAGGAUAUUUUUUUCUGGCUUCAAAAUGUAUAAUGGCGCAAUUCUUGAGAUUCAUGUUGUGUCUUGUCCAAUGAUUGUUUUAGACAGUGAAGUUCCCAAAGAACAAACCAUAGCAGCUACAUCAAAGAAAGGUGCAAAUUAUUCUUUGUGUACCACAGAUCUAGAUCGGUACACAGAUCUAGUUUAUUAA